AAAAUUUUGGCGCAGGCAUUUAUUAAAGAAAUUGUUCCGACCAUCGAAGUUUUAUUUUAACAUAUUUAAUUUAAGUAGCUCCGCUUUGAUCAGUACUAAGUUUAUGUAUAGUACACCCAUCUGGCGCUUACCAAAAACUUUGUGGGCUCGCCACACGGAUGAGCGGGACGCCACUUUCCGGUACGUGUUUUCCUUAGGGAAUUAUCCAAAUGGUCUCCGGUCAGUUGUGCUUAGAAGAGCAUACAAUCUCGAUUGAAAGUCCUCUCCUGCCGCUGGAUUUUGCUUCGGAUCCGUAAAAGAGCAAGCAAAUUUGAGCGAAAAUAAAAGAUCCAUUUACAUUAAUGACACUCGCUUCAAAGUUGUCUGCUUUGACGGCCGCUUCUGUCAUUGGGUUCGUCCUCACACCAGCGUCGAUCGUUACUCGCUCGCCUACUUUUCCACUAACCCUGCACACUUCACUCCAAAAGGCCUUUGCUUGAACUUAUCUUCAAGUAAAAGAAAAACCCAUUCUUAUAAAAAUU